GCGGACGGGUGAGUACACGUGGGAACGUGCCUUUAGGUUCGGAAUAACUCAGGGAAACUUGUGCUAAUACCGAAUGUGCCCUUCGGGGGAAAGAUUUAUCGCCUUUAGAGCGGCCCGCGUCUGAUUAGCUAGUUGGUGAGGUAAAGGCUCACCAAGGCGACGAUCAGUAGCUGGUCUGAGAGGAUGAUCAGCCACAUUGGGACUGAGACACGGCCCAAACUCCUACGGGAGGCAGCAGUGGGGAAUCUUGCGCAAUGGGCGAAAGCCUGACGCAGCCAUGCCGCGUGAAUGAUGAAGGUCUUACGAUUGCAAAAUUCUUUCACCGGGGACGAUAAUGACGGUACCCGGUAG
rnacentral:rRNA from 1 species